rnacentral:tRNA from 1 species
GGAGAGGUGGCAGAGUGGUCGAAUGCGCAUGAUUGGAAAUCAUGUGUUGUCGCAAGGCAACCGAGGGUUCGAAUCCCUCCCUCUCCGCCA